rnacentral:misc_RNA from 1 species
AUUUUUGACAUCGGGAUCGAGUGCACUGAACAGAUUAUUGACUUUAUUCAGUUAAUUUUUGGUCUUUUCCCUAUCAUGGGUACCCUAAUAGAAUCAUACGAGCAACAAUACUCAAGUUUAACAGCUGAAAUAACCUUUAACAUUGGAAGAAUCUCUAAUACUCAUGGAGCUGAAAGACAGCAGCAUAUUCGACAGGCUGAUAAGUUAUUUGAUGAAGCAACAGAAUUGCUUGAGCAGAUGGAGCUGGAGGUGAAAGACCUUCCCAUCAAAGACAGACAAAAGUACAACACACGGGUCAAAAGCUAUAAGGCGGAACUCUCCAAACUUCAGAAAGACAAUAAACGAGCCAAACUUGGUAUAGACAGCAGCAGAGAUGAACUCCUGGGCGACGAUACACAUGAUUCAGAGGACCAGAGACAGAGACUAUUAGACAACACAGAAUCAUUAGAAAGGACCUCCAGACGGCUAGACCAUGGAUAUAAAAUCACACUAGAAACAGGUAAUGAAGAAAACCUGCCAACUGUAAGUCACCAAAAGUUCAGUCUGAUUCAUAUCAGACUUUCACAAGCUCCUAUUUUAUGAAUGUUGCAUGAACAGUUUUAUGAUAAGGAGCUAGUGAAGGUUUUGCUUUAAUCAGACUGCUAUAAGUAAACAAAAGUUCAGAUUUUCUCUCUAUAAUAAAUAUGACGCUGAGAAAUUUCUUUAGUCUUGAUAGAUAUGAACUCAAACCGUUUUUAUGAGGUGGAGUGGGACACAUUCAGAAACUUAAAUUUGUUACAUUAAUUACUUUACCCUGGCACCACUGUAUUAAGUCAAAAAGGUGAAUAACUCCAUUUUUUUAAAUUUUAAUUUUAAAUAACCCUUAUGUUAUGUCCCUUCUCAAGUCCUGAAAAAAAGAUUGAUAUAUUUCCAGUACAUUCUAUUUUAUGGUCUUUGGCAUGAAAAACUGAAGAUUAUUUUUUUUUUGCCAAAAAUGCACUUUAAAAAUUCUUGUGACAUCAAAAAAUGUAAGAACUCUAGCCAAUCUCAAACUCCUGCUGUAUACAGAUCAUGACUAGCUACUGCUUGGAUUGGCCACACUUUAGGAAGAAAAAUGUGUUAAGUCAGGGAUGAUAAUAUUGUUAAUUUUAAAAGGUGUAGAGUAAAUGUAAAUCCAAGUACUCAUACACUUAAUUUUUGAUUUACUUAUUCCAGAAUACAUGUCUCAUAUGUAUAUGACAAUCAUUUACUUACAGAUGUAUCAAAUUUUUAAUUCUUGUCAUUCUUGUCCGAGGCAAAACAAUAAUUCUAUCAUGCCACAUGAAAUAUUGAUUCCUGGUAUAAUACAAUGCUAAAAAAUUACCCUUAUUAAAACCUAAGUAUAAAGUAAGUGUAAAUAUUAUCAUGACUUGGGAAUAUAUUACCAUAUUAGCAAUUAUUGUUCUGUAAGAAAGAUGAAAAGAUGUGGCUUUUCAAUAUUUUUUACUUGUAUAGAACUAGAGAAAACAUAUAAACAGCUUGAUAGCCAUUUUUCUCCUUGUAGAACAAUUGGGUGCACAAAUUAUGGAGGAUCUUCACAGUCAACGACAGACCAUCAGCCGGUCUCGACAACGGAUGGAAGAAAUGGAUACAAACCUUGGUAAAAGUUCCAGAGUGCUGUCUGGCAUGAUGAGGAGGUAGGUGGUGACAAAUGGUUUGAGUUUACUGGUAUCAACUCUCGAAUACUGAACUUGACUGGUUGGCUGAUUAAUUGAAUGAAAUGUCUCAUAAUCAAAUAUCACCAGUGCAGAUGAAAGGCACUACAUUUUCACUAAUAUUAUGUUUAGUUUGUUAUGCAACAAGAGAUGGAUCUUUUUAUUCUUUAAGUUCACCAAAAGUAAAUGUUUUAAAAUUAAGUGGCCUUUUUGAAUCACAUUAUGUGCAUCAUCUGUUCAUAGCUUGUCUUCUUCGUGUGGAGAUCGGAGGAGGAAGGGAUGGGUGUCAGAACCCCUCAUCAAAGAAAAGCAAACUUAUUAAAUUCGCAUAGUAAUAUUAU